rnacentral:rRNA from 1 species
GAUUGCUGGAAUGCAUCGAGAUUUAAAGCUCCGGAGCCUAAGGAUGGGUCUGCGGCCUAUCAGGUAGUAGUGGGUGUAGCGUACCUACUAGCAUACGACGGGUACGGGUUGUGAGAGCAAGAGCCCGGAGAUGGAUUCUGAGACACGAAUCCAGGCCCUACGGGGUGCAGCAGGCGCGAAAACUUUACAAUGCUGGCAACAGCGAUAAGGGAACCUCGAGUGCCAGGUUACAAAUCUGGCUGUCGAGAUGCCUAAAAAGCAUUUCAUAGCAAGGGCCGGGCAAGACCGGUGCCAGCCGCCGCGGUAA